GUAGUGGGUGGCGAAAUUGGUAAACGCACCAGAGUAAAUCCUUAAUUUACUUUCCUUGCCUAAACAGGCCGAUUAAUUGAGGGUUAUCGGGUUCUGGCGAUGAAAAUCUUGUAGGUUCAAUUCCUACCCCACUACACCA
rnacentral:tRNA from 1 species